rnacentral:rRNA from 1 species
UACGGAGGGUGCAAGCGUUAUCCGGAUUCACUGGGUUUAAAGGGUGCGUAGGUGGGUUUGUAAGUCAGUGGUGAAAUAUGGCAGCUCAACUGUCAAGGUGCCAUUGAUACUGCAGAGCUUGAGUACAGAUGAGGUAGGCGGAAUUGACGGUGUAGCGGUGAAAUGCUUAGAUAUCGUCAAGAACACCUAUAGCGAAGGCAGCUUACUAGGCUGUAACUGACGCUGAGGCACGAAAGUGUGGGGAUCAAACAGG